UUAACCUAACUUUGGGACUUUACAUUGACGUCUAUAAAACUUCAUUUCAAUCUUUCCUGUCAGAAUGCAUUUUAGGAGGGACAUCGAUAGUCCAAAGGAGGCCAAACAACAUAACAGAAGGGAGAGAGGAAGCAGUCCACCGAUUGGCGAGGGCAGUAAAGAGGCCUCUUAACAACUGAUGUGCCCUGUAAGUUCUGCCAUGACUAAUUUGCAGUCCAACACUUGGCAAACAGAGAGAAGCAACAACCUUGAUUCAGAAGAUUUUGAACCAAGGUUAUCUCAGGAGAGUCAUAAAUCCCAUGAGAAAUUGACUGAGAUGAUAGUCCUAGACAGAUAAACUCCAGAAGCUGUGGAAAGUUCUAUCAGCAGAGAAUCACAAAAUCGGAGAGCUGGGAAGGAUCUCAGAGACCAUCUGAUUCAACCCUUAACUGGAGUAAGAAUCC